rnacentral:lncRNA from 1 species
GCUUUCAGCGGACCGCGAUGCGCAAAGCCGCCGCCAGAAUGCCGGUGCUGGCCCUUUGUGAUUCCUAAUGCGGCUUACCGCUGCCGGGUAGCUGAUGUAGGACCGGCAUGCUAAUUUGUGUUGACUUUCCGCCAUCGGCCGAAGAGCGAUAAAACACCUCGUUGCCAAUGCGAUUUUAAAUAGGCAUGCCAGCUUCGAUAAUAGCUGUGGCAAGUAAAGGAGGCCAGACUUUAAAGGAGGCUGUCCAGAGAAUGUCCUUUGCGUUAUUCACUAAUAACCUCUGCUGUAAACUUAACUGGUCUGGUAUUACCAUAAAUGACAAUGAAAGUAACUUUGUAAAACAAAGACUUACACUUGUCUAAAAGUAAUUUUUUUUGUAGGGGCUUGUUACUCUAAUUUAAUAAUUACUUGUGUCUAAUUUAGUAAUUACUAAUUUAUUUGUUGAUAAAUAGUUGAUAAAUAAAUAAAAUUUAUUUAUUAACUAUAUAAAAAUAAAAAAUUAUUAAAUACAUAAAUAAAAUUUGUUAAUAAAUUGCUUUAAAAAAAAUUCUAUAUAUGUCUAACAACUUCAGCAACUGAAUCAGAUUUUCAAUAUGAGGUUGUGCGUUUUUUGCGUGGUGCAUCAGACCGCAAUGGCAGAAAAAAAGUUAGACAAGACCAAAAAAACAAACAAGCCAAGAAAAUGAUGCCAACAUCAAGUUUUCUAAUGCCAUUAAAUAAUUUAGUUCAGAAGAUGAAUAACAUUGCUAAAUAAAAUAAGCAUCUUUAUUUACAUAUUUGUUAUCUUUAUUUUACAAUAUUUUAUAUAUUUUUAAACUCAAUAGAGUAAAGUUUUUAUGUAAUGAGUUAUUGAUCUGUGUUUUUCAUAUUCAUUCCUUUUUACAGUAACCUUUUGUAUAUGAGAUUGUAGAUGAGAAUUUAAAUCGAGAUAUUGAAUCUUACCAGAGAAUAAAGAAACCGUUUACCUCAACCAGAGUUAUAUUUCAUAGAAUUAUGUUGACCAUGAUCCAAAUAUUGCCGUGGGUAUAAGAUAGAUGUUUGAUUUGCAAACUGGAUUUAAAUCAUAUUUUCUUUAAACAUAUUUAUUUGCUCUUUAUAUGCUUACAAAUAAUUUGUUAGAAAAAAAUUAUAUACUUAUUUACUAAACCGUUUUAUUUCAAUCAAUUAUUUGAUUUUUUAUAUUUUUCAAGGAAUUUUUAUAGUAUAUUAUAUUGCACUUUGUUUUUUUUUUUGUAUGGUGAAAACUAUGUUCAAUUUACAAACUAUAUUUUAUUUUAUCAAAAAAUAUUUUAUUGAUGUGUUCUGUCUCUAAUUCUUUUUUUUUCAGAUGUGCACUUGUGUCUUAGGCUUAUGCUUUGCAAAAGGUUCACCAUCGCCCUUAAGUUGCUGUGGGUUUUACGGUUUUACUUCCAACCUAGCAUAUAAAUGCACUUAGUAUCUGAAGUUAUUUGUCAAUAACUGGUGAUCAGACUUUCAAACGAACACGUUUUUAAGGGCUGAGAAGGUGAAAGUUAGAAGUCUGCAGACUGCAACGUAAAUCAAUUUUCAACACAUGGUUUUCUGAAUAUAUUUAGUUUUCGAUUGAAAUGAGAACAAACUGAACUUAUAGAUAUGUUGAAAAUUAACUAUUUUAUAUUUUAAACGUUCGCUAAACGCAAGUGAAGCAAUAAUCUAUAGAUGCAAAUAUACUUUAUAUUUUGUUUUAGUUUAAAAAAAAAUAUUGUUACUUUUAUAUUCAUGUUGUAAUUGUAAAUUGCAAUCUUAAAAUGAUUUUUAUUAUAA